UAAACUAACCCAAUCAUCUAUACAUUAACUCCACAAAUUCCUUUCUCAUUAUAGGGAGAACACACAAGACGAUUUACUGAAGAUAACAUGCCCAUUCUGACUCCCCAUCCCCCAGCUGGCCCAAAGACUAACCGGGGCUGUAGCAUUCUGGCUGAGGAAGGACGUUCUAGUCCAUUAACACUGACAGCCUCUCGACCGUAUACUGCCCCAGGAAAUAUGCAGCCUCUGAUUCGAUUGCAGCCUCUUCUCAGUAAUUGUGCAACGAGAAAUAUUUCAAAGAUAACUUCAGGGUCCAAACCCAAAACCUCA
rnacentral:lncRNA from 1 species